GCCAUUCUGAUCACUAGACAAUAGAACUUGUUCUCCAUUAGGGCUUUAGCGAUGCUCGACUGUUAAGGAGAGGUAGGUAAAGCAGCCUUAACUUAACUAGUCAAAAGCAACUGUAGAAAUUACGUAUGUGAUGUGAACCACUUUCGUUGUUGCGCUUACAUCUCAUGGUAGCGAAAGACGAUUCCUAAACCGCUGAAUGAUGGGCAACGAUCUAUAACUAGCUAUAAGGUAAUCGCGACCCUAUCACGCACGAGAGUUGAAAGCAAGUGGAGAGGGCUAACUCGAAAUAGAAUAAGUGAAUAAGUGAGUGAGAUUGGAUUCUAGGCUCGAUUAGAUGUUUGGUAUGCCAGUAGAUAAGUUAUACGAAGGAAGCAAUCUUCUUUCAUGUGAUCUAGUUCCUUCUUAUGUCGAGAUUCGGUUGGUGUGCCCCUUAGUAUUCUCAUAAGUGAUGCGCCUGCUUAUUCGCCCUCUGUCUCUCGUGAUUGUCAGUGAACGUGGACACCGGAGAGCGUUAGAUGGUGGAAACAACUAUCUACCAAUGACGAGAUGACCGAGGUCAAAUUACAUUUACAUUUCAGCGACUCUUUAGAUAUAAAAAAAAUGACGAAUAAUAUAUAAAAUAUGCAUAAAUUCGAUAUACAAAAAAGAAAAAAAAGACUCUUCCUGUAAGAAAAGCAUAUGCCUAUUUAAAAUUAAAAAAGGGAAAGUUUACAAUAUUAAACUCAUAUCAUAUUCGUAUUACUGGUAAGAAAAUCCCUAUUUCAAAUUCAAAAAGGUUCGCUUUUACAGCUCAUAACACUGAGUUGUACGAAAUAAUAAUAAGAUUUAGGAAAGGUUAGUUAAUAAGGGGAAUGAGAGAUUUUACCUUUUUGCCGAAGUUAAAAAGUUCAAAAGCGCAGGCGUGCAAGCCAUCAGAUCUUGGUUUCUCUCCGCUUUUACUUCAUAGCAUAAAGGGUUAUGCUAUAUUUUUAUUAUCCCAUGAAGCCGUUAUAUGGCCGCCAGAGAUCACUGUAAUGCUCGAUAAACCCAUCGACGAUGGUCAUAAAAUGGCGAUAGAAGCACUAAAAGCAGCGGUAGAAUCGAUGUAUUGAUGCUCGCGGAUCCCGGAUAUUGCUUUAUCCAACCCCAUCCACUACCCAUGAUGACAGGACCCCUCGGCCAAGGAACCGACCCGAAACGGGCGAUUCCUACCCCUAGAUGUCUACCACCUCUU
rnacentral:misc_RNA from 1 species